rnacentral:rRNA from 1 species
CCCUUAGAUGUCCUGGGCCGCACGCGUGCUACACUGAUGCAUACAGCGAGCACUUCCCGGCCCCGAAAGGCGGCUGGUAAUCAGCAAUAUGCAUCGUGAUGGGGAUAGAUCUUUGGAAUUCUUGAUCUUGAACGAGGAAUGCCUAGUAGGCGCAGGUCAUUACCCUGCGUCGAUUAAGUCCCUGCCCUUUGUACACACCGCCCGUCGCUCCUACCGAUUCGAGUGAUCCGGUGAGCCUUUUGGACCGAGACUGCUUGCAGACUUGGGAAAUCAAGUAAACCACGUCACUUAGAGGAAGGAGAAGUCGUAACA